AUUGAACGCUGGCGGCAGGCCUAACACAUGCAAGUCGAGCGGAUGAAGGGAGCUUGCUCCUGGAUUCAGCGGCGGACGGGUGAGUAAUGCCUAGGAAUCUGCCUGGCAGUGGGGGAUAACGUCCGGAAACGGGCGCUAAUACCGCAUACGUCCUGAGGGAGAAAGUGGGGGAUCUUCGGACCUCACGCUAUCAGAUGAGCCUAGGUCGGAUUAGCUAGUUGGUGGGGUAAAGGCCUACCAAGGCGACGAUCCGUAACUGGUCUGAGAGGAUGAUCAGUCACACUGGAACUGAGACACGGUCCAGACUCCUACGGGAGGCAGCAGUGGGGAAUAUUGGACAAUGGGCGAAAGCCUGAUCCAGCCAUGCCGCGUGUGUGAAGAAGGUCUUCGGAUUGUAAAGCACUUUAAGUUGAGAGGAAGGGCAGUAAGUUAAUACCUUGCUGUUUUGACGUUACCAACAGAAUAAGCACCGGCUAACUUCGUG
rnacentral:rRNA from 1 species